UGGGGAUAUAGCUCAAUUGGUAGAGUGCUUGCCUUACAUGUAUAAGACCCUGGGUUUGAUCCCCAGCACAA
rnacentral:tRNA from 1 species